GACGAACGCUGGCGGCGUGCCUAAUACAUGCAAGUCGAGCGAAGUUUUUCUGGUGCUUGCACUAGAAAAACUUAGCGGCGAACGGGUGAGUAACACGUAAAGAACCUGCCUCAUAGACUGGGACAACUAUUGGAAACGAUAGCUAAUACCGGAUAACAGCAUUAACUGCAUGGUUGAUGUUUAAAAGUUGGUUUUGCUAACACUAUGAGAUGGCUUUGCGGUGCAUUAGCUAGUUGGUGGGGUAAAGGCCUACCAAGGCGACGAUGCAUAGCCGACCUGAGAGGGUGAUCGGCCACACUGGGACUGAGACACGGCCCAGACUCCUACGGGAGGCAGCAGUAGGGAAUCUUCCGCAAUGGGCGAAAGCCUGACGGAGCAACGCCGCGUGAGUGAAGAAGGAUUUCGGUUCGUAAAGCUCUGUUGUUAGGGAAGAAUGAUUGUGUAGUAACUAUACACAGUAGAGACGGUACCUAACCAGAAGGCCACGGCUAACUACGUGCCAGCAGCCGCGGUAAUACGUAGGUGGCAAGCGUUGUCCGGAAUUAUUGGGCGUAAAGCGCGCGCAGGUGGUUUAAUAAGUCUGAUGUGAAAGCCCACGGCUCAACCGUGGAGGGUCAUUGGAAACUGUUAAACUUGAGUGCAGGAGAGAAAAGUGGAAUUCCUAGUGUAGCGGUGAAAUGCGUAGAGAUUAGGAGGAACACCAGUGGCGAAGGCGGCUUUUUGGCCUGUAACUGACACUGAGGCGCGAAAGCGUGGGGAGCAAACAGG
rnacentral:rRNA from 1 species